CAGCUCUGAUGACUCUGUCAGCCA
rnacentral:siRNA from 1 species